rnacentral:misc_RNA from 1 species
GCUCCGGCGCCGCCAUCGUCCCGAGGCAUUGGAUUGGUGGUGAAGAUGGCGAAGAGAGAGGAGGAGCUGAAGGAGAUCCGGAUGAAGACGACGGAGGAGAUAAACGAAGAGAUUGUCGACCUCAAGGGGGAGCUCCUGAUGCUCCGUCUGCAGCGCUCCGCCCGCAACGAGUUCAAGUCCAGCGAGUUCGGACGCAUGCGCAAAAGGGUUGCGCGCAUGCUGACUGUU